rnacentral:tRNA from 1 species
GGCUCAGUUGGUUUACCCGUUCAAAUUUUGCGAAGCAAAACUUGCGCGGGUAAAGAGUGCUUCAUUCACAUUGAAGAGGUCACAGGUUCGAAUCCUGUC